rnacentral:lncRNA from 1 species
GGGAAACAGUGAAUAUUGAGUCAGAGAGAAAAAAGAGGCUUCAAGUGUCCUCCCCAGUGAGGAGGCCUCCGCAGAAUGACCCGAUGAAGAGACCUCCUCUCUCUGAAUGCAGGGAGGGCUAGAGAUGCAGAUAUGCAUAAGCGCAUGGUGCUGAGGAUGGAGUGACUGAGCCCUUGACUGCAGCUCCCUUCAGAGACUGCAGUUUACUGGCUGCACACAGUCUGGUGUGGGGAGGACAAUUUUUCCCUGUGAAGCCUGCCAGGUUUCAGAUAGUAGCUGAACAUGGCAUAGAAAUUUAGGAAUUUCUCUUCCUCAACAACCCCACCUGACACAAGCAUCAGCCACGGGAGCUGGUUUGGAUUAAAGUCACAUACAAACUGAGCCAUCUCCAACAUCUACAUCAGGAAGUAACUCUAACUCAAGAUAGAGGUCACUGGAGGGGCAACAGGUGCUGAGAUGUCUAUGCAGGCAAGUCUGAGGUUAGCCUCCCAGAGUUUCGGGGAAAAGCACACAGGCAUUCCUGAACACUCUGAGAGGUGCAGAAAAGUGGCUGAGCAGACAGACACAAGGUCUGGCAUGGAGGCAGAGGAUCACAGCGGAGCAUGGACCUAACAGCUGGAUGCCGUGUGGUGAUAUCACUAUCAGCAGAAGAUGCAACAAGACCGGGGCCACUGCUCAAGGCCAGAGAAACAGGUUUGUAGGGGCCAGUGGGUCAGCGGUGACCAUAGAAGACAGUCUUCUCUACUUUGAUAGCAAAACAAUGCGUAAGGCACCUGAGGAACUCAGAUUACAACCAGGGAGAAGAAAAUCAGAGGUACAAGGUGGGAUGCAUCCUGAAUUGGUAGAGGAGAUACCCCAGAGUGUUCUACCAGAGUUGACAGAAUUACCUUGAAUAAAUAAGAAGAAGGUAUUUUAUUACCAACAGUCUCAUGGGCUAAGUUUAAGUACAGAGGAAUAAAGUUAUAUCUUUACACACUUGGGUGUGUGACAAUGUAAAAUGUCAACAUUAUACUUCCCAAUGGACUAUGCCAUGCAGAAGGCAGAAAGAAGUCAAAAGCCUGUUCUUUUUUUUCCCAUUCCAUAGUAAAUAGCAGAAAUUAUUCCCUUUGUUAAUCUAAGCAUACACCAGUCUGUAGGUUCAUAAUGAGAAAUAACUUUUUGUUCUUUGAUUUUUUUAAACAAAAUAUAGAAUUUAUAAGACAAACCCUUUUUGGUUUGUGUUUUAUUCCACCUUCUUUUAGCUAGAUUUGAAUGAAAGCAAAAUAAAGCUAUGUAUUGAAUAAAUAUGUUAACUCCACAGUAUUUUUGAAUAUAUAUUUUUCAUGGUAUAGUUCCAACUUUCAUUGGUGAUAUUGAUAUGAAAGUCAGAUUUACUGAGAGGUAAUGUUCAGCCUUGGAAGCAUCACCAAAAUGUGUAUAUAAGGCCUUUGUCCACUAAUGAGUGUCCUUUUAUGUGACUGGUUUUGUAAAGCCUUACACUGUGAAUGGACCGUCAAUCAACUCGCAGCUGCACUGAGGCCUUCGGAUGGCUGUAUCCAUGGCAACGUGCCAAAAAUGGCGGCGCAAAUUAAUCCAUUUGUGUGAAAUUCUCAGUGAGAGUCCACUUUCAUCUUUCAGAAACUACUGUUAGGAAGUCUGAUGAUAAUGUAAAAUACUAAGCAAAAGCAAAAUAGUGAUGGACUAUCCACAGGAUCUUCUCCCUGUAAACAGUGGGACUUCUUUUCCUUUUUAUCUGCUAGAGAUGACAGAGCAGAGUUGGGGAUGUAAUAUUACCACCAUAAUGUUCUUUUUACAAAAAAAGUUACAUUAAUUUAAUGUUCACAUAUAGGCUUCUUUUUCACCUUCUCUCACAAUGCUAUCUAAUCAGCCUGGAAAAUAAGUACAAUGAUUUACACAGUGGUA